GAGCGAGGUCAAUGGCCCGGGUAGCUACAACAACUGUCGCCGCCGCUGGUCGCCUCAGCUGUGAAGCCUUGUAGGAGCCGUCUGGGUAGGGCGACGCCCCGCGGGCUGCCGCCGCCGCUGCCGUGAAGAAGCAGUUCAACGUCAUUAGCAGGUGGCCAACCUGACCAUGGGCGGGUCGGCUCCGGACCGGAACACGGCCCAGCCCGAGGCUGUCUGGGCUCAACAGCCACUUUUUCCAGAGAGAAGCUACAACAGCUUGAUAAGUUUGGAAAGGAUGAAGAUCUUCUCCCAAGUAAAUCUGUUGAGUUCGACUGGGCACCGUGACCCACACCUGUAAACCCAGCAUUUUGGGAGGCCAAGGCGGGCAGAUCAGUUGAGGCCAGGAGUACAAGACCACCCUGGCCAACAUGAUGAGGAAACUGAGGCUCAAAGAAGAUAAUGUGUCCAAGGUCACCUCGCUAGGAAAGAGUGGAGCUGAGAUUUCAACUGUGACUUUAAGCCCAAGUUCAAGGCUUCUUACUAGUUUUAACUACAUUCCCAUACCCCUUUUAAUCAAUCAUGGUCUCACUCUGUUGCCCAGGCUGGAGUACGGAGACACGAUCACAGCUCACUGCAGCCUCAGACUCCUGGGCUUAAGUUGCCCAGGCUGGUCUUGAACGGAGCUCAAGCAAUCUGCCCACCUCAGCCUCCCAAAGUGCUGAGAUUACAGGUGUGAGCCACUGUGCCCAGCCUAUGUUUUUAUAUUAAACAGUGUUAUAGCAAAUACAAGUAUAUGUGCAUGUUU